AUUGAACGCUGGCGGCAUGCCUUACACAUGCAAGUCGAACGGUAACAGGUCUUCGGAUGCUGACGAGUGGCGAACGGGUGAGUAAUACAUCGGAACGUGCCUAGUAGUGGGGGAUAACUACUCGAAAGAGUGGCUAAUACCGCAUGAGAUCUACGGAUGAAAGCAGGGGAGCGCAAGACCUUGUGCUACUGGAGCGGCCGAUGGCAGAUUAGGUAGUAGGAGGGAUAAAAGCUUACCAAGCCGACGAUCUGUAGCUGGUCUGAGAGGACGAUCAGCCACACUGGGACUGAGACACGGCCCAGACUCCUACGGGAGGCAGCAGUGGGGAAUUUUGGACAAUGGGCGCAUGCCUGAUCCAGCAAUGCCGCGUGCAGGAUGAAGGCCUUCGGGUUGUAAACUGCUUUUGUACGGAACGAAAAGCCCUGGGUUAAUACCCUGGGGUCAUGACGGUACCGUAAGAAUAAGCACCGGCUAACUACGUGCCAGCCGCCGCGGUAAAAC
rnacentral:rRNA from 1 species